AACAAGCCCUUGCCACGCUCCCAGACUACUGCCUCACCAGGAUGGAGCUCUUAUGCAUUAUACAUGUUAAACAUCUCCUAUUCAGUGCUAACUUUGACUUUGUGCCCUGGGCCAGUCGACUUUUUGGCAAAAUACUGCAUCUUCAGCCAGGAGAAGUUGGCGAAGUACAAAAGGGCUUUUGAAGCGGCCUGCCUACCAGCUGUGGAGCUAAUAUCUACACGUGGCCCUGUAUCAUCCUUCUUAUACCUAUGAAUUUACCUUUCUAGCCAUCACCAGAAGGUUCAUCUCAUCAACUCUUGUUACUGAAACAGCAUCUUCCAUGGCCAAGAAUUGAACACUGCAACUUAGUGAACUUCCUCUAUCGUGUCCAGACAAUAUGGAGUGCUUUUCCUGCAUUACAUGUUCAUCAAGAAUCACAACUGCAUUCACCUGACAGUUAGGAUUACAGUAUCAUAUUGGCCAGGCCAUCACUUCUGCAAUCUUCACCAGCAAAGGAGGCAGAUAUUCUGUGGCUUCGUACUGGGGCACCUUGGAACACACUUUCUGUGGUUUGUUUGGCCCUGCUGAACAUGACAAACUGGACAUAAGAAGGCAUUAUAAGUACUGGGUGAAUGCUCAUGUCUUUGCUGCCCAUUGGAACAGUGUUAAAAUAAAGCUCCUUUUGACAC
rnacentral:lncRNA from 7 species